rnacentral:rRNA from 1 species
AACGAACGCUGGCGGCAGGCCUAACACAUGCAAGUCGAACGCCGUAGCAAUACGGAGUGGCAGACGGGUGAGUAACGCGUGGGAACGUGCCCUUCAGUUCGGGAUAACCCAGGGAAACUUGGACUAAUACCGGAUACGUGCGAGAGCAGAAAGAUUUAUCGCUGAAGGAUCGGCCCGCGUCCGAUUAGCUAGUUGGUGAGGUAAUGGCUCACCAAGGCGACGAUCGGUAGCUGGCUGAGAGGAUGAUCAGCCACCACUGGGACUGAGACACGGCCCAGACUCCUACGGGAGGCAGCAGUGGGGAAUAUUGGACAAUGGGCGGCAAGCCUGAUCCAGCCAUGCCGCGUGAGUGAUGAAGGCCUA